GUCAUAUUGACGUCACGCUCACGACCCAUCCACGAGAAAUGGAGGAUCGGGCCGUGUGUGGGGGAGGAUGAUUAUGAUCACCGAGCGAUCACCCUUUCUUGGGGGGUUCAUGGGAUUCGCGGGGCUGUUCGCGGCUGCACGAGACGAAAUGUUGAGAGUAAGGCCGAUUGGCCCGCCUUCCGGGCUUCCCUGGAGGCGAACCGUCGGCCCCUUGAUGACGCAACCGACAGAGCCGAAGUCGAGUACGGUGUAUCGGCGGUUUCAAACGCUCUCGUUAGGGCAUGCGACGUCUCGAUGCCG